rnacentral:rRNA from 1 species
GUGGGGAAUCUUCCGCAAUGGACGAAAGUCUGACGGAGCAACGCCGCGUGAGUGAAGAAGGUUUUCGGAUCGUAAAGCUCUUUCGUUAGGGACGAACGUGCUCUUUGUGAAUAAUGAGGAGUAAUGACGGUACCUAAAUAAGAAGCCACGGCUAACUACGUGCCAGCAGCCGCGGUAAUACGUAGGUGGCAAGCGUUGUCCGGAAUUAUUGGGCGUAAAGCGCGCGCAGGCGGGAUAUCAAGUCUGUCUUAAAAGUGCGAGGCUCAACCUCGUGAGGGGACAGAAACUGGUAUUCUUGAGUGUCGGAGAGGAAAGUGGAAUUCCAAGGGUAGCGGUGAAAUGCGUAGAGAUUUGGAAGAACACCAGUGGCGAAGGCGACUUUCUGGACGAUGUCUGACGCUGAGGCGCGAAAGCUAGGGGAGCGAACGGGAUUAGAAACCCGUGUAGUCC